rnacentral:rRNA from 1 species
UACGUAGGGUGCGAGCGUUGUCCGGAAUUACUGGGCGUAAAGAGCUCGUAGGUGGUUUGUCGCGUUGUUCGCGAAAUGCCACAGCUUAACUGUGGGCGUGCGGGCGAUACGGGCAGACUGGAGUACUGCAGGGGAGACUGGAAUUCCUGGUGUAGCGGUGGAAUGCGCAGAUAUCAGGAGGAACACCGGUGGCGAAGGCGGGUCUCUGGGCAGUAACUGACGCUGAGGAGCGAAAGCGUGGGGAGCGAACAGG